UUCAAAAGAAAAUAAAGAAGACAAAAACAAAUGGAAGUUUAAUCAGUCAUACUGAAAGGAUGGAUGAGAUGGAAGAGCAUUUUUCACAAGGCCUCUCCCCCCCGCGACACGAUAAAAUGCGAUUAUUUUAAAAACAUAACCGUUUUAUCAGCUCUCCAAAGAAAAGUAUAACAACUAAGAACUUAUUUCAAAACAACCGAAAUAAAAUGACCUCAAGGGACGCUGGUGGAAAUUCGUAUUCGAACAUGAACGAAUUCGGACUAAACUAUUGGUCUGUGGAAGUCCGUUUUGGUCAACAGUGUGCGAUGCUGUCGCUUACAACAACGUUGGUGACACUCGUUCGAAAAUUCCGCUUCAUUCCAGCCACAAAUUUCAAAUACGAUGAAAACAAUCCAAU